rnacentral:rRNA from 1 species
AGAGUUUGAUCCUGGCUCAGGAUGAACGCUGGCGGCGUGCUUAACACAUGCAAGUCGAGGGGAAACGACAUCGAAAGCUUGCUUUUGAUGGGCGUCGACCGGCGCACGGGUGAGUAACGCGUAUCCAACCUGCCCAUCACUUGGGGAUAACCUUGCGAAAGUAAGACUAAUACCCAAUGAUAUCUCUAGAAGACAUCUGAAAGAGAUUAAAGAUUUAUCGGUGAUGGAUGGGGAUGCGUCUGAUUAGCUUGUUGGCGGGGUAACGGCCACCAAGGCUACGAUCAGUAGGGGUUCUGAGAGGAAGGUCCCCCANAUUGGAACUGAGACACGGUCCAAACUCCUACGGGAGGCA